rnacentral:lncRNA from 1 species
AAGAAGGGAGUUGCCGACAGGCAAUGGCUAACCGACGGCGACUGGUCAGUGGUCCUGCCGGUGGUGGGAGGGAUUGAUGGUUUUUAAAAAAAAAUAAAAAAUAAAGAAAAUAAGAUGAAAAAAUGGAAAAGGAAAAAAAGAAAUGGAAGGAAGGAAAUGAGGGGUGCGUGUGGCAGUGAAAAAAAUUGGGGUCGGCCACUGUCUUGUGUGGGAGUUGGGGGGAGGAAAAAAAAGGGAAAAAAAAAAUAAAAAAUAAAAACUCUAGAGAG